rnacentral:rRNA from 1 species
UACGGAGGGUGCAAGCGUUAUCCGGAUUCACUGGGUUUAAAGGGUGCGUAGGAGGGCAGGUAAGUCAGUGGUGAAAUCUCCAAGCUUAACUUGGAAACUGCCGUUGAUACUAUCUGUCUUGAAUACCGUGGAGGUGAGCGGAAUAUGCCAUGUAGCGGUGAAAUGCUUAGAUAUGACAUAGAACACCAAUUGCGAAGGCAGCUCGCUACACGAAUAUUGACUCUGAGGCACGAAAGCGUGGGGAUCAAACAGG